rnacentral:rRNA from 1 species
AACGAACGCUGGCGGCAGGCUUAACACAUGCAAGUCGAGCGCCCCGCAGGGGGAGCGGCAGACGGGUGAGUAACGCGUGGGAAUCUACCCAUCUCUACGGAAUAACGCAUGGAAACGUGUGCUAAUACCGUAUACGUCCUUCGGGAGAAAGAUUUAUCGGAGAUGGAUGAGCCCGCGUUGGAUUAGCUAGUUGGUAGGGGAAAGGCCUACCAAGGCGACGAUCCAUAGCUAGUCUGAGAGGAUGAUCAGCCACACUGGGACUGAGACACGGCCCAGACUCCUACGGGAGGCAGCAGUGGGGAAUAUUGGACAAUGGGCGCAAGCCUGAUCCAGCCAUGCCGCGUGAGUGAUGAAGGCCCUAGGGUUGUAAGGCUCUUUCACCGGUGAAGAUAAUGACGGUAACCGGAGAAGAAGCCCCGGCUAACUUCGUGCCAGCCGCCGCCGUAACAC